rnacentral:hammerhead_ribozyme from 1 species
GCACUGCUGAGGAGUCCCACACUGGGACGAGACGGACGUCCAGUGC